rnacentral:snRNA from 14 species
AACAUUAAUUGGGGUCAAUGGGCAAUCAAGAAGGCCCAUGGCCUAGGUUAGUGACCUCCAUUGCACUUUGGCGGGGUGCCCACCUAAGGUCCACAUAAAAGAAAAAUACUUGAUUUUGUUAUUGAGAAGGCAAUCAACAAUGUGUUUUUA